rnacentral:rRNA from 1 species
AUGGUGGAUCACCUCAUGAUCCAGUGUGUCUUCGCGCGACAGGUCUGGUUCAAAUGUUUUUCCAAAGUGGGCAUCACUCCCAGCCUCAUCCCCAUGCAACAUGAUAGGCUUCACAAGUGGUGGAUGAGUACGCGCAAGCAGAUCAGCAGGGUGGACAAAAAGGGCUUCGAUGCUUUCGUCAUGUUGAUUUGCUGGACGUUGUGGAAGCAAAGGAAUGCUAGGGUUUUCCAGUCAAUUGUUAUUUGCGAUGAGCUUGCUACGGCCAAUCUUAUAUUUCAGGAGCUGCAUCUAUGGAUGCUAGCGGGAGUGGUAGGAGUCCAACGAUUUUGUGAGUAG